GAUGAACGCUGGCGGCGUGCCUAACACAUGCAAGUCGAGCGAUUUACUUCGGUAAAGAGCGGCGGACGGGUGAGUAACGCGUGGGUAACCUGCCCUGUACACACGGAUAACAUACCGAAAGGUAUGCUAAUACGAGAUAAUAUGCUUUUAUCGCAUGGUAGAAGUAUCAAAGCUUUUGCGGUACAGGAUGGACCCGCGUCUGAUUAGCUAGUUGGUAAGGUAACGGCGUACCAAGGCGACGAUCAGUAACCGACCUGAGAGGGUGAUCGGCCACAUUGGAACUGAGACACGGUCCAGACUCCUACGGGAGGCAGCAGUGGGGAAUAUUGCACAAUGGGCGAAAGCCUGAUGCAGCAACGCCGCGUGAGCGAUGAAGGCCUUCGGGUCGUAAAGCUCUGUCCUCAAGGAAGAUAAUGACGGUACUUGAGGAGGAAGCCCCGGCUAACUACGUGCCAGCCGCCGCAGUAAUAC
rnacentral:rRNA from 1 species